UUUGAAUAAAUGAGUACUAAUGAAUAACAAUUUUGCUUAUAAUGUUUGAGUAUAAUAUUUUGGGGUAACUAAGGCACUGUCGUUUAUUUUGCCCCGCAUCGUUUCUUUUUUAAUGUUUUUGACUGUAAACUAAUUAAACAAGUUUUAUUUUAAUUGACUAUUUGAAUAAAUAAUUACUAAUAAUUAUUAUAUUUUGUUUAAAAUGUAUGAGUACAAUAUUUUGGGCUAAGAAAAGCACGGUUCUUUAUUUUGCGACCAUCAUUUCUUUUUUAAUGUUCAGGCACUGACGUUUAUUUUGCGCCCCAUCGUUUCUUUUUUAAUAUUCAUGACUUUAAUCUAAUUAAAGUAAAAAAUUAAAGUUUUAUUUUAAUUGAACAUUUGAAUAAAGGAUUUCUAAUAGAUAUUAAGUUUGUUUAUAAUGUAUAAGUAUAAUAUUUUGGGUAACAAAGGAAUUGUUAUUUAUUUUGCACCCAUCAUUUCUUUUUUAUUGUUCAGACUUUGUCCUUUAUUUUGCGCCCCAUUGUUUUUUUAAAUUUUUUUGACUUGAAACUAAUUAAAGUGAACAAUUAAAGUUUUAUUUUAAUUGAACAUUUGAAUAAAUGAUUACUAAUAUAUAACAAGUUUGUUUAUAAUGUAUACGUAUAAUAUUUUGGGAUAAUAAAGAAACUGUCGUUUAUUUUGC
rnacentral:lncRNA from 1 species